rnacentral:misc_RNA from 1 species
CGCACCUUGCACCCUUUGGCAUUCCGAAGGGUACAUCUGUUUGAGUGUCAUGUAUACCUCGACCCUUAUAUUUGCGAAAAUAUAGUGUAGUCGGAUGUUGGACUUUGCUGUUGUACAGCUCGUUCGAAAUUCAUUAGCGAUCCCCCUACAAAUCGGAUUGACCCAGUGUAAUAAGCCUUUCAUUGGGGAAGUCUUCAAUGCGGCCGAUUUAUAGGGAGUAGCUCCGAACCCUUAUACCUGAUCUUUAGACCUCAAAUCAGAUGGGACUACCCGCUGAACUUAA